GCCAGCGUAGCGUAGCGGUUUGAGCGCUGGGCUGUGACUCUGGAGACCCAGGGUUCGAUUCCCGGCUGAGCCU